GGGGUGCUAUGGGGCACUAUGGGGUGGUUAUGGGGCACUAUGGGGUGGCUAUGGGGCGCUAUGGGGUGGCUAUGGGGCACUAUGGGGUGGUUAUGGG